rnacentral:lncRNA from 1 species
GCCAAAAGUAAAAACUACUUCAAUUCCAUCAUUAUACUUUUCAAUUACAGAUCUUGCAUCUUUGUCCUUCUCUCUCUACCAGCACCUCAAAAUGCAAUAAACAGAAGGCAUGGGUGAGGAGGAACCAAACAAUAUUAUGAGGUACCACUUAGGGGAUAGUUGCCUCAAACUCCCAAAUCUUUAGCUCCUCCCAAUAGUCCUAAAAAUUUGCAAUUUGAUCUGGCAGGGCUCUCUGGGUAGAUCCACUCUUCUAAGCCAGUGAAAAAUAAUCUCUCCAAACAUAGGAAAGUUCAAACUUAGAAAUCCAUAGAAAGUUAUAUCUUCUCUUGGCCAGAUGAGGAGGACCCACUGUUUGGCUGAAUGGAAGCACAAUGCAAAUAAUGAGAAUAGGAGUUCUACUCUGUGGGGAGCUGUGAAUUUCACACAUUCCUUACUUGGUCCUGACCCCGCCAAACCUCCUGAUACAGAAAAAAGCAAUGAGAGACAAAUGGCUGAAUGAAGGAAGUAACAGAAACGACAGUGUUCUUUAAUACACAAAAGCAGGUAAUUAAUUCUCCCCCUUUCCUAUCCCUUAUUAACUGUGACCUGUGCACGCACUGCUUUGAGUUUCUCAGUACCACAG